UACGGGGGGGGUAAGCGUUGUUCGGAUUUACUGGGCGUAAAGGGCGCGUAGGCGGCAAUUCAAGUCAGCUGUGAAAUCUCCGGGCUUAACUCGGAACGGUCAGCUGAUACUGCUUUGCUAGAGUGCAGAAGGGGCAAUCGGAAUUCUUGGUGUAGCGGUGAAAUGCGUAGAUAUCAAGAGGAACACCUGAGGUGAAGACGGGUUGCUGGGCUGACACUGACGCUGAGGCGCGAAAGCUAGGGUAGCAAACGGG
rnacentral:rRNA from 1 species